AUUUAUAUAGUUUAAUAAAAACAUUACAUUUUCAUUGUAAAAUUAAAAUAAUUAUUUUUGUAAAUU
rnacentral:tRNA from 1 species